rnacentral:rRNA from 1 species
GUCUACGGCCAUACCACCCAGAAUGUGUCCGAUCUCAUCUGAUCUCAGAAGCUAAGCAGGGUUGGGCCCGGUAAGUACUUGGAUGGGAGGGUCAGCCUUUGUGCUGUAGGAA